CGGGACACGUGGUAUCCUGUCUGAAUAUGGGGGGACCAUCCUCCAAGGCUAAAUACUCCUGACUGACCGAUAGUGAACCAGUACCGUGAGGGAAAGGCGAAAAGAACCCCGGCGAGGGGAGUGAAAAAGAACCUGAAACCGUGUACGUACAAGCAGUGGGAGCACGCUUAGGCGUGUGACUGCGUACCUUUUGUAUAAUGGGUCAGCGACUUAUAUUCUGUAGCAAGGUUAACCGAAUAGGGGAGCCGAAGGGAAACCGAGUCUUAACUGGGCGUUAAGUUGCAGGGUAUAGACCCGAAACCCGGUGAUCUAGCCAUGGGCAGGUUGAAGGUUGGGUAACACUAACUGGAGGACCGAACCGACUAAUGUUGAAAAAUUAGCGGAUGACUUGUGGCUGGGGGUGAAAGGCCAAUCAAACCGGGAGAUAGCUGGUUCUCCCCGAAAGCUAUUUAGGUAGCGCCUCGUGAAUUCAUCUCCGGGGGUAGAGCACUGUUUCGGCAAGGGGGUCAUCCCGACUUACCAACCCGAUGCAAACUGCGAAUACCGGAGAAUGUUAUCACGGGAGACACACGGCGGGUGCUAACGUCCGUCGUGAAGAGGGAAACAACCCAGACCGCCAGCUAAGGUCCCAAAGUCAUGGUUAAGUGGGAAACGAUGUGGGAAGGCCCAGACAGCCAGGAUGUUGGCUUAGAAGCAGCCAUCAUUUAAAGAAAGCGUAAUAGCUCACUGGUCGAGUCGGCCUGCGCGGAAGAUGUAACGGGGCUAAACCAUGCACCGAAGCUGCGGCAGCGACGCUGAUGCGUUGUUGGGUAGGGGAGCGUUCUGUAAGCCUGUGAAGGUGUGCUGUGAGGCAUGCUGGAGGUAUCAGAAGUGCGAAUGCUGACAUAAGUAACGAUAAAGCGGGUGAAAAGCCCGCUCGCCGGAAGACCAAGGGUUCCUGUCCAACGUUAAUCGGGGCAGGGUGAGUCGACCCCUAAGGCGAGGCCGAAAGGCGUAGUCGAUGGGAAACAGG
rnacentral:rRNA from 1 species